GAUGAACGCUAGCGGCAGGCUUAACACAUGCAAGUCGAGGGGUAGAGGCUUUCGGGCCUUGAGACCGGCGCACGGGUGCGUAACGCGUAUGCAAUCUGCCUUGUACUGGGGGAUAGCCCAGAGAAAUUUGGAUUAAUACCCCAUAGUAUUUUCGGUUGGCAUCAACUGAUUAUUAAAGUUUUUCGGUACAAGAUGAGCAUGCGUCCCAUUAGCUAGUUGGUAUGGUAACGGCAUACCAAGGCUACGAUGGGUAGGGGUCCUGAGAGGGAGAUCCCCACACUGGUACUGAGACACGGACCAGACUCCUACGGGAGGCAGCAGUGAGGAAUAUUGGUCAAUGUCGCAAGACUGAACCAGCCAUGCCGCGUGCAGGAUGAAGCAUCUAUGGUGCGUAAACUGCUUUUGUACGGGAAGAAACACUGCUACGUGUAGCAGCUUGACGGUACCGUAAGAAUAAGGAUCGGCUAACUCCGUGCCAGCAGCCGCGGUAAAAC
rnacentral:rRNA from 1 species